rnacentral:lncRNA from 1 species
UAACUAACUAUUGAAGUCAACUGAAAUCCUUUCUAGAACAAGGGGGAAAAACGAAGUAAAGAAAUCAGGAGGCCACAGUAAUAUAGGAGAGAAAAUGAUGUCUUGGAAUAGGGUGGCCAUGGAAUGGGGACUUUGAUGGAUUGAG